CCUGGCCCCAAUCUCCGAGACUCUCUUCUAAAUCGCCCUCAAAUUGAGUCUUUACCCUCGCCGCCGCCACCAAAUGCGAUGUGCCCUAGCCGCCACCCCCAAGCACCGCCCCUGGCCGCCGCCCCCAACCACCGCCCCUGGCCGCCGCCCCGCAACCACCGCCGACUACCCUCCACUCCGACCACUUCUGCCGUCGCCCCCAGCACCCCACCUAGCUCCGCUGAGAACCAACUGACAGGGAUCUAAGCCGACGCCGGCCGACCCCGUCGCCGAGCCACUCCACCGCCGACCACCAUCCUUCGCCGAACAAUCCAGCGCCACCACCCUACUUUGCGAGCUUCCUUGCCGGAGCAGCAAUUGUCACCGGAGCAUCGAGCGGGGCCACCUCCUCUACGUGACUAUGUCCUCUCCCCCAAGAAGCGGACCGUCUGUCCCCUCCUGCGAGCAACUCUACCUCCUCAACAUCCUCUCCCUUGGUACAACUAGCUCCUCUACUUCCUUGCCUUAACCGAGAGCAUUUGAUAGGCUGGAUUUCUUUGCUAAUUUUGUUCAUAUUCAGUGUCUAGCAAUUUUAGUCAUGAGAUGCAGUGUAUGACCUAAAGCUUUGAUUGGCCGAAAGCAUGUGCAAUGUAAUAUUUGACUUCAAUUAAUCUAUCUGCCUUAGUAACAAUUUGCUCUUGUUUACAUAAUACCAGUACUUAUUAGAGUGGUUGUAUCUACUACUGUAUUCCAACUUCUAUUUAAUUAGGUGACUCUAGCUUAGAUCUUAUUAAUUUCACAAGGUGGUAUUUAGUAAUUUCUCUGGGUUCAGUGUCACCUAUUGUAGGGCUCCUUAAUUAAAUCCUCUCCCUAGGCAGCGCCGGCUCUUGUACUUCCUUGCCCCAACUGAGCAUUUGUCAGGUGAGAUGCUUUUGCAAACUUCUAUCCCUUUUUCUUCUAGGCAGUAACUAGAAUGAGUUCAACAAGUUUUGAGUUUAUGGCACCACAGUUGUGAAGAUAACGACUAAGUAUCAAACAUAUUCCCUAAAAUGUACUGCUAGUAUUUUGAUAUCAUAUAGCCGAAGUUUAUUUAUGCUGAAGUGAUCUUCCAUGGCAGCAAAAUGGAUGCUACAGUUACAAACUAAAUUAGUGAAGCCUUGUAGAGGUACUACAUUCAAUCUUUGCUAAAAAUGGUUUUUGUUCUGUGUCGCUUAUCUCCAUUAUCGAUCGAUGGUAGAAAAGUAGCUACAUAGCGAACCUCUUUUUGUCUCUUUUCUGUUCGCUUAUCACCAUUGUUUUGUGUAAUUUGUUGUCUGAAUUUGAUAUGUACAUAUGUAGACAUGGUUCAGCGGUAUUUAUAUCAUUAAGUUCUCGUGCUCUACUCAUAUGGUGUUGAAAUAUUGUGGUUAGUCUCAGUUCUACAUAUCUAUGAUAUAAUGUUGAAAUGUGUGUGAUCAUUCUCAGCUAGUUAAUAGAACUCUACUUCCUUUCAUUACUUUGGCAGUUUUAGCGAAACUAGUCAAGAAUGGACAAGAGAUGGACAGAUAAAGGUAGACACACACAAACAUAUAUUGAUGGGGUAAAGGAAUUAAUAAAGUUUGCUUUUACCCAUUCAGCAAAAAUGCGACCUCAAGCAAGCUGAUGAGGUAAUGUAAAUGUUUCUCUUGGUUAUUGCUAUGUUAUACUCUCUCUGUUCAUAGAUAUAAGAUGUUCUGGGUAUUUCAAUAUGGACCACGUACGGGCUAAAAUGAGUGAACAAACACACUAAAGUGUGUCUAUAUAUACCUGAUUCGCAAAAAAAAGUUAAAACAUCUUAUAUUUGUGAAUGGAGGGAGUACUGUUUAUAUGUUGUUUGGCAUUUAAUCAUUAUCCAGAGAACUUCAGAAGGAACUGAAAGCCUCCUAAUCGAUAUCCUGAUAAUUUUUCUUUGCAUUUUCACUUUCACCCGUAAUUUAAUCACACUGGUACUGUAUAUGUGCUAAACUUUAAAAUUGUCAGUUUUUAGUCGUAAAUAGAGGUGAUAUAGUUACUUUCACUUUUCUCAGUUACUUUAAUGUAUGCCUUUGUAGUACUAAUUGAUCCAUUUCUUUCCAGAACUAUAUCAUGUACAAUAUAGCUAGUCCUUGUUGUAAUUUCACGUAUAUUAACUUGCACCUUGUUGUACAAUUUUUUUUGCUAUACAAUUCUGUGGUUUCUUCAAUUCCGUUAUGUGCAUUUUUUCUUCUAUUCGUGGUUGACUCUUUCAUGUCAGAUCCAAAACUUCACUGAUAAAAUUAGUGGAAUCUGUUAUAUUGGGCUACAAAGCAUGGACAGGGCAGUAAUUUCCGAUCUGUUGUCCGGAUAUGGCGGGAUACGUGUGUCCCCCAGUAUCCCCAGAUUUUUGAUUAAAAAGAAAGAAAAGAAUGCGGGGAUAUGGCGGGUAUGUGACACGGUUGGGAUACGGCCUGGCCCAAAAAAUAGCCUUGGCCCAAAACGGAACUCUAUAUUUUGCAUGAGUGGCACACCUCUCGACACAAAAACAAGGUGCUCCCGGGUCGCAUCCUCUCCUCGAUCGAAGCUGCCACCUCCUGGAUCGAAGCCACCACCGCCGGCGACCGCUACCUCAGCACCAACAGGCAGCAGCCUCUCCUCCCGAUGGUAGCAUGUCAUGGGGGACGAGGACUAAUCAAACUUGAUAAAAGAGACACCAAAUGGGCCAGUAUUCUCUAUUCUAAUAUCUUUCUCAUUAAUUUUCUGUCUUAACUAUGUAUUACAUGGCUUUUUAGCUUUUGGGUGCACUCGAGCGUACGGUUUUGUGAAGCAAGUAACAAUGGUACAGAUUCUUGUUUUGCCAUAUUUGCCCAUGGAAUAUUUUUGUAUGUAAGCGCAAAUAAUUUCUGCUUGAUCUAAUUAUGUCUGUAAUAAUCAUUGCUUAUUCUGAUGAUUAAGUGUUGCAUAUUUAGAAGAGUUUUAUGCUAACGAGUUAAACUGCAGCACGACAACAUCUAUAUUAUGUUGAUUUAAAAUAUGAAAUGGUAGCACCAUUUUUGAGUUUCUAAUUUGUUGCAGGUUUCUCAAAGAUACACAAAUUGAUGGAGGUUUGGAGGAUCUACAAGUUGCUGGAGUGAUAAUAUAUUAUGUAAUAUGCCUUUUUUCUUGAACCUUGAGACAUUGAGUUUUAAGUUGCAUUUUGGUGGUUGUUUCAGCACACAAGCCAUUUUAUGCUCAUCUUGGUUGUGUGGCAUGAUUUCUUUACCUUGAACAUAUGUACUUUUCUUCGAAGCACAAUGUCCUCGUAUAUGGUUCGGUCAUGCAUGUGUAAGAAACGUAUAUUUUUGGUAUAUUUAUGUUGUUGAAUGAGGCCUUGUGAAAUU